UGUUUUUAAUACCUAGUGGGAAGCAGGACUAGUGAUCUUGAAAGACCCCCGAAGGGAGACCCUCACUCAAGCCUCGGGACAGCCGCGGACCCAAGAAGACACUGAGACCG
rnacentral:pre_miRNA from 7 species